CGCGUAGGUGGUUUGUUAAGUUGGAUGUGAAAGCCCCGGGCUCAACCUGGGAACUGCAUCCAAAACUGGCAAGCUAGAGUACGGUAGAGGGUGGUGGAAUUUCCUGUGUAGCGGUGAAAUGCGUAGAUAUAGGAGGAACACCAGUGGCGAAGGCGGCUACCUGGACAGAAACUGACGCUGAGGCGCGAAAGCUAGGGGAGCAAACA
rnacentral:rRNA from 1 species